AUUGAACGCUGGCGGCAUGCCUUACACAUGCAAGUCGAACGGUAACAGAUCUUCGGAUGCUGACGAGUGGCGAACGGGUGAGUAAUACAUCGGAACGUGCCUAGUAGUGGGGGAUAACUACUCGAAAGAGUGGCUAAUACCGCAUGAGAUCUACGGAUGAAAGCAGGGGAUCGCAAGACCUUGUGCUACUAGAGCGGCCGAUGGCAGAUUAGGUAGUUGGUGGGAUAAAAGCUUACCAAGCCGACGAUCUGUAGCUGGUCUGAGAGGACGAUCAGCCACACUGGGACUGAGACACGGCCCAGACUCCUACGGGAGGCGGCAGUGGGGAAUUUUGGACAAUGGGCGCAAGCCUGAUCCAGCAAUGCCGCGUGCAGGAUGAAGGCCUUCGGGUUGUAAACUGCUUUUGUACGGAACGAAAAGCCCUGGGUUAAUACCCUGGGGUCAUGACGGUACCGUAAGAAUAAGCACCGGCUAACUACGUGCCAGCCGCCGCGGUAAUAC
rnacentral:rRNA from 1 species